rnacentral:rRNA from 1 species
AACGAACGCUGGCGGCAUGCCUAACACAUGCAAGUCGAACGAGACCUUCGGGUCUAGUGGCGCACGGGUGCGUAACGCGUGGGAAUCUGCCCUUGGGUUCGGAAUAACAGUUAGAAAUGACUGCUAAUACCGGAUAAUGUCUUCGGACCAAAGAUUUAUCGCCCAGGGAUGAGCCCGCGUAGGAUUAGCUAGUUGGUGAGGUAAAGGCUCACCAAGGCGACGAUCCUUAGCUGGUCUGAGAGGAUGAUCAGCCACACUGGGACUGAGACACGGCCCAGACUCCUACGGGAGGCAGCAGUGGGGAAUCUUGCGCAAUGGACGAAAGUCUGACGCAGCCACGCCGCGUGAGUGAAGAAGGCCUGGUUGUAAG